rnacentral:rRNA from 1 species
UACGUAGGGUGCAAGCGUUGUCCGGAAUUAUUGGGCGUAAAGAGCUCGUAGGCGGUCUGUUGCGUCGGCUGUGAAAAUCCGGGGCUCAACCCCGGACUUGCAGUGGGUACGGGCAGACUAGAGUGUGGUAGGGGAGACUGGAAUUCCUGGUGUAGCGGUGAAAUGCGCAGAUAUCAGGAGGAACACCGAUGGCGAAGGCAGGUCUCUGGGCCACUACUGACGCUGAGAAGCGAAAGCAUGGGGAGCGAACAGG